UAUAAACCAAAUUUAAACAAUGUUGUCAUUAAUAGGAAGAUGAAUACAUUUAAAGAGACAUCAAUGAGCAAAGUCACCUUGAGCCUUAUAUAUGUCCUCUAACACUUGUGCUGUCAGGCUUCCCCGGACUUUGUAUUCCUGAGUGCUGGUAAUGGUAUUUAAAGUGCAGGUAAUGUAGCUGAAGCUUCAUUCCAUUUUCUGCGUUCUCACUGCUUCCAGCAUCCCCUUAAGGCAAUCAACGGUAAUAGAAGCUGUCACUUCCUGUGUUUCCAUCUAUGGCCACAAUAGUCGAUUCUCCUGUACUGAUAUGCUCAGAGAACUGACCUCAAGAAAUCACUCAUCUCAUUUGCUCUCUACCUUUAAAAGUUCUUGGCUUGUGAGUCAGUUUAGGUGUUUAGAACAUAGUUGCUACCCUAGGCACUGCUUUAUGACCUCUGAUAGUUUUUUUUUUAAUGACAAAAUGAAAAUUAAAAACUGAACUUUACAAAUGACUUCAAGUGCCUAUUCUGUCACUUGCUAGUUAUGUCAUUUGGGACAAAUCAUUAAACCUCCUUGUGGUAGACUUUGUUAUUGUUCAAAAAAUAUUUGCUGCCUCUCCUGGAGGGAAUAUUAUCCUUACUUUCCCCCUUGACAUCAAGCUUGGUUACAUGAUUUUCUUGGGCUAAUGGAAUAUAAACUGAUUUACUAUGUGUUAUUUCUAAGCAGAAGCUUUCAAAGAUAGUGUAUAUUUUGCGAUGUUCUCCCCUUUUUCUCCACCAUGAACACCAGCAAUAUUCCAGACAGAGGCUGUUCCAGGUCAAGACAACAGCCUGUACUCCUGGAGUCAAGACAACAGUAAACACAGCCACACUUGAUGUAAAAGGACAUGUGUCUGGUUGUAAGUCUGCUGGCUGACUGGGAGCUGUGGCUCACUGCUGCUGCCCAGCAUCAGGACGGAGCCUCACAGCGCAUGGCAACAGCCUGGGGAAAGAUCAAAAUUCAAAAUUCAAAGUACAGUUUCUACUGAACGCACGCCUCUCCCACCAUUGCAAAGUCAAAAAAUGAUUCUGUCAUUAUAGCAGUGCCAGCAGAAGAGUGAAGACUGAAGUCAUCAAAUUCAAAGUGAACAUGGGAAGGUUAAUUCACUGACAUGAUAGAGGUUGAUUCCAUCGCCCUGGUCCCCUGAGAGAAAGGAAGCAAUGCACAAGUGCUGAAUAUCUUUAGAACAAGAAAGCACAGGGCAUAAAGAACUUGUAAUAGCUCUUUAUGGCCAGGCAGAGAAACACAACACACAGGAGGGGCAGCAUUGCAUGGGGGGUUAUGAGCAUGGCCUCUGGAGCCAAGUGGCCUGAGCAUCAGUCUUGCUUAAUUAGUUCCUAGCCAGGUAACUGUUGAUCAACUUACUUAACUUCUUUGUGGCUCAAGUCCUUCAUCUUUAAAAUGAGAAAAUAACAAUAUCUACCCUUUGAGGUAGUUACAAAGGAUACACUUUAAUACAUGUGAAAAGCUCCAUAGGGAGUAGCUAUUAUUAUGAGCUGCUGAGAAGAACUGAACAGUAUAAACCUAGAGGGAGGCCCCAGAUUGAAAUGAAAGAGCAUAGGAAAGGGGGUGGAAGUAUAUCUCAGUUGGUAAAGCACAUGCUGAGUGUGCACGAGGUACUUGGUUCAAUCCCCAGUACCUCAGUUUGGAAAAAAGAAAGAAAGGAAAGAAGGAAGAAAGGAAAGCAAGCAAGCAAGCAAGCCAGCAAGCAUAGCCAAGACCCCCAAACUUGUUUUUCUUUCUAAUGGCAGGGGCAGAGUGGAAGACAUGUCUGGAUUCAGACAUUGUAUGCAGUGUGAGAAACACUGAAAUAAGACACAAGAAAUGCAAAAGCCAGAGUUGACGAAGAAAGGAAAGAGACUCUGUAAGAAAGAUACAGAUACUACCCAAGGCAAUAUACAGAUUAAAUGAAAUCCUUAUCAAGUUACCAACAACAUUUUUCACAGAGCUGGAACAAAAAAUGUUAAAAUUUGUACGGAAGCACAAAAGACCUUGAAUAGCCAGAACAAUCUUGAAAAAGAAGAAUGGAGCUCGGAGAAUCAUGCUCCCUGACUUCAGACAAUACUGCAAAGCUACAGUAAUCAAAACAGUAUUGUUCUGGCACAAAAACAGACACAGAGAUCAGUGGAACAGGAUAGAAAGUCCAGAAAUAAACCCAUGCACUUAUGGUCAAUUAAUCUACAACAAGGGAGGCAGGAGUAUGCAAUGGAGAAAAGACAGUGUCUUCAAUAAGUGGAGCUGGGAAAACUGGACAACUACCUGUAAAAGACCGAAAUUAGAACAUUCUGUAACACCAUAUACAAAAAUAAACUCAAAAUGGAUUAAAGACUUAAAUGCAAGACCAGACACUAUAAAAUUCCUAGAGGAGAACAUAGGCAGAACACUUUUGGACAUAAAUCUCAGCAAUAUAUUUUUUGAACCAGCUCCUGGAGUAAUGGAAAUAAAAGCAAAAAUAAGCAAAUAGGAUCUAAUUAAACUUAAAUGCUUUUGCACAGCUAAAGACACCAUCAACAAAAUGAAAAGACAACCUACAGAAUAGGAGAAAAUAUUUAUUUGUAAAUGAUGCAACUGACAACAGACUAACUUCCAAAUUAUACAAACAGUUCAUACACCUUAGUAUCAAAAGAAAAAAAGCAACCCAGUCAAAAAAUGGGCAGAAGAUCAAAAUAGACAUCUCUCCAAAGAAGACAUCCAGAUGGCCAAGAACAUGAAAAGAUGCUCAACAUCACUAAUUGUUAGAGAAAUACAAAUCAAAACUACAAUGAGAUAUCACCUCACACCAGCCAGUAGGGCCAUUAUUAAAAAGUCUACAAAUGAUAAAUCCUGGAGAGGGUGUGGAGAAAAAGGAACCCUCCUACACUGUUGGUGGGAAUGUAAAUUGGUGCAGCCACUAUGGAGGACAGAAUGGAGGGUCCUUAAAAAACUAAAAAUAGAAUUACCUAUGAUCCAGCAAUCCCACUCCUGGGCAUGUAUCUGGAGAAAAAUAUAAUUCAAAAAUACACAUGCAUCCCAAUAUUUAUAGAAGCACUGUUUACAAUAGCCAAGACAUGGAAACAACCCAAAUGUCCAUCAGCAGCUGACUGGAUAAAGAAGAUGUAGUAUAUUUAUACAAUGGAAUACUACUCAGCCAUAAAAAAGAAUAAAAUAAUGCUAUUUGCAGCAACAUGGAUGGACCUAGAGAUCAUCAUUCUAAGUGAAAUAUGCCAGAAAGAGAAAGAAAAAUGCCAUAUGAUAUCACUUAUACAUGGAAUCUAAAAAAAAAAAAAAGGACACAAAUGAACUACUUAUUUAUAAUUUAGAUGACUGAUUUCUUGAAUAUGUGUAAGCACAUUUGAC